rnacentral:rRNA from 1 species
GAUGAACGCUAGCUACAGGCUUAACACAUGCAAGUCGAGGGGUAGCAGGGUAGCAAUACCGCUGACGACCGGCGCACGGGUGAGUAACACGUAUCCAACCUUCCCAUAACUCGGGGAUAGCCUUUCGAAAGAAAGAUUAAUACCCGAUAGUACUUAAUAAAGGCAUCUUUUUUAAGUUAAAGAUUUAUUGGUUAUGGAUGGGGAUGCGUUCCAUUAGAUAGUUGGUGAGGUAACGGCUCACCAAGUCUUCGAUGGAUAGGGGUUCUGAGAGGAAGGUCCCCCACAUUGGUACUGAGACACGGACCAAACUCCUACGGGAGGCAGCAGUGAGGAAUAUUGGUCAAUGGGCGAGAGCCUGAACCAGCCAAGUAGCGUGAAGGAUGAAGGUCCUAUGGAUUGUAAACUUCUUUUAUAGUAGAAUAAAGUGAUCCACGUGUGGAUUUUGUAUGUAUACUAUGAAUAAGGAUCGGCUAACUCCGUGCCAGCAGCCGCGGUAAGAGUCACGUCG